AGUAGCCUUGUUAUAGUUACUUAUAACUAAUACAAACUCUAUGCCAGUAAGAAUAUCCAAAAUUACUGUUGCCAGUAAUUUAACAUCAAGGCUAAAGAAAGGGAUUAAAAAAUAUAUAUAAUAAGUUAAUUGAAAGGGAAUGGGUAGUUAUAGAAAUAGUUUGUUCUAUGCAACAAAUAACCUGUCAAAACUAUUAUGUAUAAUACAAUACAAACUGAACUAUACUUUAGUGAUCCGUACAGUAUUUUUGUAGUUGGAUUUUUAUUGUAAACAGAGGCAUUGUGGAUCUAGGCGCAGCGCCCUGUCUUCAUCUGUUAUGGGAGGAAAUAGGUGACUCCAUGCUCUUUUCAUGAAACGGAUGCAUCGUGGCUCUGGGCGCAGGAUCCUGUCUAUUAUGGGAGAAUGUGAAGUUGUUGACUCCUUCAUGCUCUGGUCAUGGGAAGCCGUCCGACUUCUGAUACACUUUUCCUUAUCAACUUUGCGCCUUACAUGGGAGGCUGAAGCAAGGAGAUGUUUGUUGGCAAGUUUGUCGUUUUCCACACAUUGAUACAUGCAUAUGUCUUGCAGUUUCAUGUUUAGCUUUUUGGUUUAAUACUGCACUUCGCUAAUUUAUCUACACUUGUCUGUGUUAACCCAGUAAUGUAAAGUAGUUAUUUUCUAAGUAUUUUAUGUUGUUAAAUUGUGGUCGUUAUUUCCCUGCUUGAUUACGUCUUGGAUUCAUUGUGUAAUAAAGUUGUAUUGUUUA